rnacentral:rRNA from 2 species
CAUAGGUUAAUGAGGCGAACCGGGGGAACUGAAACAUCUAAGUACCCCGAGGAAAAGAAAUCAACCGAGAUUCCCCCAGUAGCGGCGAGCGAACGGGGAGGAGCCCAGAGCCUGAAUCAGUGUGUGUGUUAGUGGAAGCGUCUGGAAAGGCGCGCGAUACAGGGUGACAGCCCCGUACACAAAAAUGCACAUGCUGUGAGCUCGAUGAGUAGGGCGGGACACGUGGUAUCCUGUCUGAAUAUGGGGGGACCAUCCUCCAAGGCUAAAUACUCCUGACUGACCGAUAGUGAACCAGUACCGUGAGGGAAAGGCGAAAAGAACCCCGGCGAGGGGAGUGAAAAAGAACCUGAAACCGUGUACGUACAAGCAGUGGGAGCCUCUUAAUGGGGUGACUGCGUACCUUUUGUAUAAUGGGUCAGCGACUUAUAUUCUGUAGCAAGGUUAACCGAAUAGGGGAGCCGAAGGGAAACCGAGUCUUAACUGGGCGUUAAGUUGCAGGGUAUAGACCCGAAACCCGGUGAUCUAGCCAUGGGCAGGUUGAAGGUUGGGUAACACUAACUGGAGGACCGAACCGACUAAUGUUGAAAAAUUAGCGGAUGACUUGUGGCUGGGGGUGAAAGGCCAAUCAAACCGGGAGAUAGCUGGUUCUCCCCGAAAGCUAUUUAGGUAGCGCCUCGUGAAUUCAUCUCCGGGGGUAGAGCACUGUUUCGGCAAGGGGGUCAUCCCGACUUACCAACCCGAUGCAAACUGCGAAUACCGGAGAAUGUUAUCACGGGAGACACACGGCGGGUGCUAACGUCCGUCGUGAAGAGGGAAACAACCCAGACCGCCAGCUAAGGUCCCAAAGUCAUGGUUAAGUGGGAAACGAUGUGGGAAGGCCCAGACAGCCAGGAUGUUGGCUUAGAAGCAGCCAUCAUUUAAAGAAAGCGUAAUAGCUCACUGGUCGAGUCGGCCUGCGCGGAAGAUGUAACGGGGCUAAACCAUGCACCGAAGCUGCGGCAGCGACACUAUGUGUUGUUGGGUAGGGGAGCGUUCUGUAAGCCUGUGAAGGUGGCCUGUGAGGGUUGCUGGAGGUAUCAGAAGUGCGAAUGCUGACAUAAGUAACGAUAAAGCGGGUGAAAAGCCCGCUCGCCGGAAGACCAAGGGUUCCUGUCCAACGUUAAUCGGGGCAGGGUGAGUCGACCCCUAAGGCGAGGCCGAAAGGCGUAGUCGAUGGGAAACAGGUUAAUAUUCCUGUACUUGGUGUUACUGCGAAGGGGGGACGGAGAAGGCUAUGUUGGCCGGGCGACGGUUGUCCCGGUUUAAGCGUGUAGGCUGGUUUUCCAGGCAAAUCCGGAAAACCAAGGCUGAGGCGUGAUGACGAGGCACUACGGUGCUGAAGUGACAAAUGCCCUGCUUCCAGGAAAAGCCUCUAAGCAUCAGGUAACAUCAAAUCGUACCCCAAACCGACACAGGUGGUCAGGUAGAGAAUACCAAGGCGCUUGAGAGAACUCGGGUGAAGGAACUAGGCAAAAUGGUGCCGUAACUUCGGGAGAAGGCACGCUGAUAUGUAGGUGAAGCGACUUGCUCGUGGAGCUGAAAUCAGUCGAAGAUACCAGCUGGCUGCAACUGUUUAUUAAAAACACAGCACUGUGCAAACACGAAAGUGGACGUAUACGGUGUGACGCCUGCCCGGUGCCGGAAGGUUAAUUGAUGGGGUUAGCGGUAACGCGAAGCUCUUGAUCGAAGCCCCGGUAAACGGCGGCCGUAACUAUAACGGUCCUAAGGUAGCGAAAUUCCUUGUCGGGUAAGUUCCGACCUGCACGAAUGGCGUAAUGAUGGCCAGGCUGUCUCCACCCGAGACUCAGUGAAAUUGAACUCGCUGUGAAGAUGCAGUGUACCCGCGGCAAGACGGAAAGACCCCGUGAACCUUUACUAUAGCUUGACACUGAACAUUGAGCCUUGAUGUGUAGGAUAGGUGGGAGGCUUUGAAGUGUGGACGCCAGUCUGCAUGGAGCCGACCUUGAAAUACCACCCUUUAAUGUUUGAUGUUCUAACGUUGGCCCCUAAUCGGGGUUGCGGACAGUGUCUGGUGGGUAGUUUGACUGGGGCGGUCUCCUCCUAAAGAGUAACGGAGGAGCACGAAGGUUGGCUAAUCCUGGUCGGACAUCAGGAGGUUAGUGCAAUGGCAUAAGCCAGCUUGACUGCGAGCGUGACGGCGCGAGCAGGUGCGAAAGCAGGUCAUAGUGAUCCGGUGGUUCUGAAUGGAAGGGCCAUCGCUCAACGGAUAAAAGGUACUCCGGGGAUAACAGGCUGAUACCGCCCAAGAGUUCAUAUCGACGGCGGUGUUUGGCACCUCGAUGUCGGCUCAUCACAUCCUGGGGCUGAAGUAGGUCCCAAGGGUAUGGCUGUUCGCCAUUUAAAGUGGUACGCGAGCUGGGUUUAGAACGUCGUGAGACAGUUCGGUCCCUAUCUGCCGUGGGCGCUGGAGAACUGAGGGGGGCUGCUCCUAGU